GCGGGAGUAACUCAGUCGGUAGAGUGCAACCCUUCCAAGGUUGAUGUCGCGGGUUCGAAUCUCGUCUCCCGCUCCA
rnacentral:tRNA from 6 species